rnacentral:rRNA from 1 species
GUACUGAUAAAAGGUGAAAUUAAUUUUUUAGUGUGUGGAAAUGUAAAAAACGAAGUUUAAAUUGAAGCUAUUAAGGUAAAGAAAUGAACCAGGAUUAGAUACCCUGUUACACUUUAUUUAAAUGGUAAUUACCUGGGUACUAAGCAGUUAUUAUCUUGAAACUCAAAGGAUUUGGCGGUAACUUAGUCUAUUUAGAGGAACCUGUCCUAUAAUCGAUAGUCCACGCAAUAUUUUACUUUAUCUUGUAGAAAACAGUUUGUAUACCGUCAUUAUUAGAUAACUUUAAAAAAAUAUAGAGUUGUUGUAAUAGUAUAGCUAGUAAAUUAGAUCAAGGUGCAGCUUAUGGUAAAGUAGAGAUGGGUUACAAUAUAACGAGUAUAAACGGAGCAAUGAAUGAAUAUUCAUUGUGAAGGUGGAUUUAAGAGUAAAAAGAUUUUAAUAAGAUCUUUUGACUUUAGCUCUAGGUUAUGUACACAUCGCCCGUCGCUCUCGUUAAUUAAAGC